AUUGAACGCUGGCGGCAUGCUUUACACAUGCAAGUCGAACGGCAGCGCGGGCUUCGGCCUGGCGGCGAGUGGCGAACGGGUGAGUAAUAUAUCGGAACGUGCCCAAGAGUGGGGGAUAACGUAGCGAAAGUUACGCUAAUACCGCAUACGAUCUAUGGAUGAAAGUGGGGGACCGCAAGGCCUCACGCUCGUGGAGCGGC
rnacentral:rRNA from 1 species